AAGAAUUCUUUAGAAGAAAGAUCGAAUGAAGAGAGUAACGGCUCGUAAAGGUCUUCCCUAAAACUGCGAAUAGCAAAGAUGGAUUAAGCCAAAAAUUGUUAUAAAGCUCGCAUAAGUCGGCUAAGAGGUAGCCCUAAGAAAAUAGGAUACAGGAAAAGUGAACCAGAGGUGGUCAAGUUGCUGAUAGGCCGGGGGGCUAAAAA
rfam:Epulopiscium sp. AS2M-Bin001 AS2M_MBin01_148, whole genome shotgun sequence.